GUGUGCUGCAGCCCGUGGGUUCACAAAGAGUCGGCAAUGACCAAGAGACUGACCAACUGCUGCUCCCGCCCCCAGAACUGGUGAUCUGGCUCUGGAAGGCUCAGCUGCCCCACUGUUGUGUCUCUCAAGCUUGCAUCUGGUGGACACUGUCAGAGGAAAUUUUGCCUGGGCCACCUCACCUGCUCUUCUGGCCUCCAGCCUCCCUCCUGCUCCUGCUCGGAGAUAUUACUGCCACUUAGAGCUGAUCCUGUUCCUCCCCUGCUUGUGGCCCUUCCGUGGCUCCCCAGCGCCCUCUGGGGUCGUAGGUCUGGCUUCUCCAGUCUCAGAGUUCAGAUGCCCCCUGUAUCCAAGUGUCCGUCUCCCCCAGGCCUCCGGGGCGAGGUCCCUUCUACCCAGAAUGCCCUUCUCUGGUCACCAUGGCCACCAUUCUGAUCUCCCCUCAGGGUUCUGCCGGCUGGUCUUCUCUGUCUGGCUCAGAGGCUCAGGAAAGGGAGAGGGAGGCCAAGCAGCCCAGAGUCUGGAAGUCAUGGCCAUGAACUUUCAGGAAAAUGUGACCCUGGCCAUGGCCGUAUUCACAAUCCUCGCUUCCAUCUACUUCUUCAACAAGGCUCAGCAAUGAGAAGACACAGGACCACCUAACCCAAGAGUCCUGCCUCUGUCCCGACCAUGACUCUGGCCUCUGAGACCAAAUAAAUGUGACUGAGUCAGCACACCCUGCUCCAUCUCACCAGGCCGGCAGGCACACCG